UGACGAUGCACGUCGACCUACGCCAACGCGGUGCUCUUAGAUGGUGCGCCAAAGGCCAGGCGACAGCAACAAGAAGCUUUUGUUUUGUUUAAGUCCGUUGGGACUAUAUGCGCCGAGGAAAGUGUUGCACUUGCGACAGUAGUGAUUGCCAGUGCGACAACUGUUCAUGCAGUAGGGAACAAAGCAGGCAAAACAGCACCACCUGAGCGAAAUGAGAAUGUUUAAUACGAAUGCGCACACGGAAGCUAUGGAUUUCGGACUCACCCCAC